AUGAAGCUAAUACCACUGAAUAUCCUCAGUGGUUGCACAGAGGAGUAUAAGGAUGUCUUCAUCGGGCCAGUCCACGUGGAAGACGUCGCGUUAGCCCAUAUCACAUUGUUUGAAAACCCGGCUGCAUCCGGGAGGCACCUCUGUGUGGAGCCCAUAUGUCACUUGAGCGAUUUCGCGUCCCAAGUCCCGGAGCUCUACGCCGACUACGAAGUCCCGAAUUUAGUUGGCAGAUUACCUGAGGACACGCAGCCUGGGCUGGUGAGAGCGGAGUUGAUCUACUGGUACACCUGUCUGUUCUUGCUAGAUUCUUCCAAGAAGUCCUUGGGUGUUGCAAGGAAGAUCACCGAUGAAUAA
rnacentral:rRNA from 1 species